rnacentral:lncRNA from 1 species
AUUGGUAUGAUCCUCAUGUCAAGUGAGACAUGAGAGAUGGUAUAAAUGCAUGUAGAUACCAAGCUUUGCAUGAUGAAAAUUCUUAAGUACGUCAUACCUAGAGAUCUAGUAUCAUGGCUAUAAUAUGGGAGUCACAUCAGUCUGUCCAUCUACAGUUAGGUCUCCUAAACUGCUCUCUAAAUUUUCAAAUAAUUUUACAUGCACAUCACCAUCAUGAGCGCAAGGAACACGUGCAUUUACAUGUAACUUUGACCUUCACCUUGACUUGAGAUACUUUUUAAAGUCAGUGUCUUCAGAAAAUAAGCAAUUUAGGUGCCGUACGAUAUGAAGGUAUUCAUCACCUUCAGUGAUAGCUCUAGUUAUUUAAAUUUUAAAGAUUUAAUGACUGAAAUUGAAUCAUUUGAUACCAUUAAUGGCAUAAAAAGUUUAUUCAAUGAGUACUGUCUUGUUCUUAUAAUGCGAUCUACUUUUGUCAAUACGAUUGCUGUAGAACUGAUUGGACCUACAUAUUUACAACAGUUUAACUGUUUUGUUUCCUUUUUACAGUCCCAAUAUUAUUGCAAUUCGGUAGCAAAGAUGUUGACACCACAUGUCGUCUGAUGAUGAGUUUUACAGGAUCGAAUAAGGUUUGGUCAUUGUAUUCCCUGAAAGGAACAAGAGGAGAAAAGAAACUGGAAGACCUGCAUGCCUAUCCGCAGGCCAAUGCUGGCUGCAGGUCAAUAUUGAAUGCUCUUAUGAAAACUCACAAGACAAUAACAAAAAAAAAAAGAAGCUGAGGAUGCUGUUUUUAAAACAUGUUCCAUUCAAAAAUGGUGGAUUGAAAUUUAAGAAAGGUGUGACGGGUGCGGCUACUGCAGGCAGGGAGGAUUUGACGGUCAGCCAGAGGAUUUGGAGAUAUACUGUAAUGUCUUAAAUGUGGACUUGCGUGUGAUUUAAGUUUUCACAAGGGUUUUAGUGUGUGUGAAAGUAUGUCAGUUUUCAAAAUUGAGCUAUGACAAUUUGCUCAAACUACAUAACUCAAAGAACUUUGA